UCCGUGGCUUUGGGAAAAUGUUUGGACACUGAAGUUCUCCAGCCUAGAAGAGAAAGCGAAAAAUGAAAGACCAUCAUACUCCGCUUCAGGAAGAUCUCUCAAACUUGAAAACCAAGGAGUCUCGGUUAAUGAAGCCUCAAAAGAUCGCUAAGAAAAGCUUGACUGGUGUGUUUUCCUUGGUUUCUGAAAAAUGUUUCCUCAAGAAAUCCUGGAGGCGAUUUCAGAGAUCUCAAGCUCCAAUUCUAUCAGCCAAAUGGCGCAAAGCUCUGAGUUGGCUUUGAAUCCAGUUAUUCCAUCUUCAUCAGAAGCAUUUCCUCUUUCUGGUUGAAUUCAAAGAUUCUCACAACCGCUGAUGAGCCAGGCGAUGUGUCCACGGAGCUUUGCGGAUUCCACAAACCAGAUGGUUCUGUGGAGGUAGAUAUUGCGGCCAAUUUCCUCAAACUAGCUCGGAUUCGGGUCUUGAACUGCGCUAAUGCGGAUCAGCAGUCGAAGAAGUUCAUAGAUGCCUUAGUUAAGGUCGUGCUAGAUGAGUGUUACGCUCUACCUGAAGAGAUAGACUGUUACUCAUGCACUUUUGUCUUCCAAAGUUCGUGUAGUGUUUCUUUGCUUCUUGCUUUGGAGCUUUAUAGUAUCUGUGAUAUUCUUCUGGCGCAAUUGAACUCUGACAGUGGACCCUCACCAACUUGAACCAGUGCAACUAAGAGGUACAGUUUUGUUGCUUUCGGUAAUUUAGUAAUUUUUCUGAAUGCUGUUGAUUUUAUUUUGUUAUUCAUUUGCUGCUGUUUAAAGUGAAAUCAACUAACGUGUAAUUAUAUAAUUAGUUGUGCUACUCUGCUCUAUUUUCCUACAAAAUCGUCUUGAUAAUAUAUAAAAAAUUAUAAAUUCAUUUUAAUUAAAUAGUGUAUCCACUUAAGAAUAUAUCAAAAUAUAUUAUCAAAUAUUUCAGAAAAUGAAAGAGUUAGGUUAAUAUAUCUCAAAAACAUGGAGUUAGGUAAAAAGGAAGGGAUUUUUUCUUUUAUGUGGGUUUGAAUGAAAUAUUUAAGGCGACAUUUUGUAGGCUUCCUAAGUUGAUUAUGCACUGCGUUUCAAGAAUUAUGCUUUAUGCGUAUUGUUUGUGAUGUACUGAUGUUUGCAUAUAGGCUAAUUGCUGCUUCUAUCUUUCCUGUUACAUUUGGAAUAUGGUUUAAUCUGUAUCCUUAAUGUGUACUUUGCGCUUACUAAUUGAGAUACCUCUAAGAGUGAGAAUUUUAGACAAGGUACUCUUUUAGAUUUGGGAAGCAAAAUUAGCCUAUUACAUUCUGACAUGUGAAACACAGCUAAACCAAUAUCUUAUAUUGCGAUCGUUUGAAUUGAGGAAUUUCAUUGCUUAAAUAUUUCCCUUCGUUGUCAUUGCUUUUGUCCAAGUAAAUGUAUUUGGCUGUAAUGUUAUUAUGCACAACUUUGUUGUUUUCUCUUACUUAUUGAUGACCGCUGGGUUUCACUAUCCCAACACGAGGUUGGGCCUGCGAGAGCAGUAUUGGUCCGAGGCCCAUGAAGCCUCUCUGAUGGGCCGGACUGGUUUUUCCAGCUCUGACCCCAUCUUGCCAAGUAGAUUGGAUCACUCAUGAAUCCCAAUCUGCUCGCUCGGUCUUGAAAAGUCAUAGGAGAAAAGACAGCAGGCCCAAUCACCUCGCAGCUCUGUCCAUACACGCACAGGAGGGAAUUAAAUGGCCGCCUGGCGUGAGGCAGACGCCUCGUACGUAUAGAUCUGUAGGAUAGAGACUGGCGGUACUGUAGCUGUGAGACAGACAAAGGAAAAGGAUAAAGGGAGGAGGGCACCUUCCCCACAUUCAAAUUUUACGGACACACAUUAAAAAUUUUAUUCUCUGGAUCUCAGAAUAUCACUUAUCAUGUGUCAGACUUAGAGCUUUCUGUAGUAAUAGGAAGCUCAGUUUUCUCUACAACUCCGACAUCUGAUAUUGCCCUCUUUCUCUUGCUCUUAGUCUGUGCCAUCGUGUAUAGUAGUUUCACUGAAUGAGAGUAUCUUAGCCCCUCAACUUCUUGGUUUCUCAAUAACUUCUUUUUCAUUUUGGCAAAUCAGUCUAAACUCGAUAUUGGAACUCAUUUCUAUUCUACCAACUUUUAUUAGAUGUAGUGCUUGCAUUCUUAUGUUGGCAUUAUUGACUGUGCAACGUUGUGGUUUGUUUGCUUCGUCUUUCUGUGGUUUACACGCGUUUUUAACAUCAUAGAUAGUUUUCCCCCUUGUAUGGCAACCCUGAUUUCUUUAGCCCAGAGAAGGACUAGUCCUCUGUAUUUUGAUAUGAUUGAGCCUAAAAGGGAGUCCAUUGCCGAAGUUAAUAGCCAGUCCAUCGAUUAAUGUGUCCCCCUUGACUGACCUAAUAAUUCCAGUGCUCAAUAAUUUUCCAUGAUUCAUAUCGUUUAUUGUCUGGGAAAACCUUUGCGUUCCAAAGGCCAAACAACAGAAGCAUUUAUCAUAGCAUCAUUAAAGAAUGAAGCUAUUUUUUUUUUCUAAAUCUACAGUAUCAAUAAUAAAAAAAUAGGAAAAACUUAAUAAAGAGGGUCCAAUCUAAUUUUGCCAGGAGGCUGUCCCCAACGCUCAACCUAAGACACAAUAUCACAAUAUGUUAAGUGAAAAAACACUUGAAUCAACGUCAAGGAAAAGAACAGUGCAAAUAAAAUUAGGAAGUGCAGACCAAAAGGUGAGACUAGCAUGCAAAUGGCCACCCUAAAUAAUCUUUGAACAACCACAUUGGAUUGUCUCCGAAUCCAUGAUAAGGUCUAACUAAAAGAUGGAUAAAAAAGUUUUACAACCUUUGAUAAUUUGAACAAAUUCGGACCAAGUAUGGUUAGCGAAGUGAAAAGGAUUAACAAUAUAUUUAGCAUCAACCUCUAUGUUAGUAUUCAUAAUAUAACCCUGAUUAAGCCAAAAGAGAGCUUCUCGUAAUGCAAUAGUCUCUGCCAUAUGAGGAAUGAAAUUAUCUGUUAUAUCUAGAUAGUCUUGACAUGAAUUAACCCAAAUCAUCUCUAAUCUUUACAGUUAAAGAAGCAAGUCAUUUUUAUUAUGAAUUCUGCAUAACAUUACAUUUGACCCUACCAGAAAUUGGAUUAACCCAAAUCUGCUGACUAGAAUGUCCAGUUCUGAAUCCAUCCAUAUUGUGAAUGUCUAUGGGAGAGUAAAGAUUAACAGCUGAAGUAAGAGUACUUCUGUUGGAUGCCAUAUGAUCUGUUGCUUCUGUAUCAAUAAUCCAGGAACCAUUCGCAAAUAUUUUUGUACAAUUCACGCUAUAAUGAAUAUAUUUGCGAGUAAAAGAUCCAUCAUAGAGUCCAUAGCUGCUACCAAAGCAAUGAUUUGACACUGUUGUGGCUGUUACUGCACUUUUUCCUUUCAUUAGUCUCUGCACUCCUUGCUGCAAUGUGCCAAGCAAAGUGUUGAUCUCAUGAUCUUGCCAUUUCUUUAUGCUGAAUUUUCUUCGAAAAGUGUUUCUGCCAGGUAAGCUGCAUGCCUAUUGUUUUCUUUGGAGACAUAAGGUUUUAGCUGUUGUUGACUUCCUCUCGUGUACUUCUUUCCUUUAUACCAUUCUGGGUAUUCGGCUAGUCUGAAGCAAUUGUCUCGCACAUGACCUUUUUGGCCACAAUAAGUGCAGUGUCCUUUCUUUCUUUCAAAUCUCUUGUAUUCCUUUUUAAAACAUUGUGAUUGAACCUGUAAAGCCACAGUUUCAACAGUUUCUGUACAGGAAUUCAUUAUCCUUUCAAGAUCAUUGAAUACGCUUUGUUCACUUAGGGUAAGGGACCUAAAAGUAGAAUCUGAUUCUUUGCUUGAUCGAAAACAUCAGUAAACUGCAUAAGCUUGCUUCUACUAGAGAUACUCAUCAUUUACUUAGCCACACCAUAGGUACAUGACGGUAAUGGCUUCAGGCUGUUGAACUCAUCCUAAAGCUUCUUCAGUUUUGUAAACUAUAUAGAUACAGAAUUAUUAUCUUAUUGCAUCGCGUUGAUUUUCCUUUGGAUCUGGUAAAUGAGAGGUCCAUUGCUUUCUCCAUGUCUUUCUGUAAUUUCAUCCCGCAGGUCUUUAGCUGAAUCUGUGUGGAUGAAAGCCUGAGCAAGUUAUUUUGAUAUAGAAUUUAGAAUCCACGAUGUCACCAUGAAAUCACACUUUCUUCAAUCUUCGGAUUCAGUUGAAUCUUUUUCCGAAACCUUGAUUGUUCCAUCUAUCAUUCUGAGUUUUUAUAGUGUUAUUUUCAUCGCUCUACUCCAGGAUCGAUGGUUGUUUCCGGUCAAUGGAGCCGUUACUAGCACCAUUCCAAGAUUAUCCGAGUUCUGUAGAUAGCACCAUUCCAAGAUUAUCUGAAUUCUGUAAAUUCAUAAAAUCAUUCUUUGUCGUCGAAUUCUGUAAAUGCAUAAAAUCAGUCUUUUUCGUCGAAUUCUGUGACGCCUUCAUGCUUCUUCUCAAGAAAACAAGUAACUUUUCUUGGGAUCUUUAAUCUUCCCGCUUUGAUACCAUGCGAAAAUAACAAAGUAAAGAAAUGAGAGUAACGUGAGUUUCAUUGAGUUGUAAUUGGAUGUAUUUAUACAGGAGAAUAUCCAAUGAUUUGCUGCCAGCUUAUCUAACAACUUAACUAAUUCUCACGCUAUAUCACAAGUAGAUUAUAACUAUCUCUACGGUCACUUUCCAUUCUUCCAAAAACUUGAUCCUUAAAGAAAUUGUAUGCUGCAUUGUGGAAGACUUUUUGUUCCCGAAUAAACUGUUUCUCAUGAUCCAAAUGCAUCAACAAGUGAUACAGAAUUUCUCUAGUCCUCUCUCUCUAUCUUUGGUGCUCAGUGGCAAAUUAAAAAGAAGUAAUUAUGUUGUAUAAUAUUGAAAUUAAUCAUGAGAAGGGAUUUCUUCAUCUCCUUCCUCCUCUAUUUCUCUCACUUUUCAUUGGAUGCAUGAGCCACACAACUUAGGUGGUUAUUCUUCCUUUCUCAUAAAUAUACCACUCACUCAUGACUCAUGGAUUUGAGCAUGAUACUCAUAGAGAACCUAAACUUUUUAUGAGAUAUUCAAUUGAGACGUUUUUUUUUAUUAUUAUUUUUAUUUUGGGGAAGGAGAGGUUAACGUUAUAAAGGAACACGUAAAAAGAAUUUAUACGGUUAUUAAUUUUGCCAAUAUUUAAUAGUUUUACUGUUCUUUUAGGCAAGAUGGGUUUUUUUUUAAAUUACUGUUUAGGAUUUUUUUAAAAAUAAUUAAUUAAUUACCAAUUACCUUAUUUGAAAAUGUGCAAUUAUUUUCAUUAUUUAAUAGUUGAAUGUUUUAGGUAAUAUUUUUGUCAAGGUUUUUAGGUAGGAUUCUUAAGAACCACCUACAUAAAUCAUUUGACAAGGAUUUUGAAAUUAAAUAUUCAGGAUUAAUUAAUUUGAUCUAAAUAUAUUCUGCUAAGUCAUUAAUUUGUUGAACAAUUUACCUACUGGCAAGUAAAAGAACUUUAGGAAUGUUUGUUAUUUGAGCCCCACAAACCAAAUUACAUGAAAUUGACUGAAUAUAUCUACCAAAUAAAGAGACUGAAUAUUAAUCUGCUGCUAUUAAUUAGCACCUAUUAGAUGUGUCAUAUAAAUAAAAUGCAUGCUCAAACCAGACCAAGAUACCAAUUUCAUACUAUUUGUACAAGGACCCGAGGAGAUCAAAGUCUUCAGGUAAUUUAUUCUAAAGCAAUCUUAGUGGUAGUUGAAUCAUUCACGAUGAAUGGGACAAAACCAUAAGGGUGACUGGCUGCUGAAAAAUUAUGAUCCGCAGGCUUAAUCAUGGAAUGAGCACCAUCAAGCUAAUCCUUGAAGUAUAUAAUGACAAGCUUUUAAAAGCUUAAUAGUUGCGUUAUCAACUUGAUAUUUCUUUAUCAUAAUAAAAGGACAGCCUAACAAGGCCUGAUAGGCUCUUUGGAUGGGAGUAGUUAAAACUUACAAGAGUGGAUGAGAAAGAAUGAGACAAAGACAUUGUGUAAAAUAUUCUAUAGUCUCUUUCUUGAAAGUGUCUUUUUGAAGAGACAAUAAAAUUAUAUAUCAUUUGCCAUUUAGUAGCUAUAUCAUGACGGGCAAUUAAAAGUAGCCUGAAAUUCACUAGUUAUUUGUGGAGUUUCAGAAGUAAUGAUUCCUUGACUU